GUACACGCUGUGACUAGCAUAUCAAUAAGCGGAGGAAAAGAAACUAACAAGGAUUCCCUUCAGUAACGGCGAGUGAAGCGGGAAGAGCUCAAAUUUGAAAUCUUCAAGGUUUUACCUUGACGAAUUGUAGUUUAAAGAAGUGUUUUCUGCUGAAGUUUUGGUAAAAGUUCUUUGGAAUAGGACAUCAUAGAGGGUGAGAAUCCCGUAUUUGACCAUUAUUUUCAGCUUUGUGAUACACUUUCAAAGAGUCGGAUUGUUUGGGAAUGCAGUCCAAAAUGGGUGGUAAAUUUCAUCUAAAGCUAAAUAUUGGCGAGAGACCGAUAGCGAACAAGUACCGUGAGGGAAAGAUGAAAAGAACUUUGAAAAGAGAGUUAAACAGUACGUGAAAUUGUCAAAAGGGAAGCGUUUGACACCAGUGUUGUUUUCUCGAAAAUCAAUUAAAAAUGGCUCGAUUUUGUAUUGCUGAGACCUUAAAAGCUCACUGUACAUUUUUCGUGUCUUUUUUAAUGCACUUUUCGUUUAACAAGUCAACAUCAGUUUCUUUUGUUGUAAAAGGGUCAUUGGAAGGUGGCUUUCUUUUCGGAGAAAGUGUUUAUAGCCUUUGGCCUCUGCAAUCGGAAGAGACUGAGGUCUGCAGCGUAGACUCUUCGGGGUUAGAUACAUUUGUGCUAAGUUAUAGCUUUUUAUAGACAACUUGUUGACUAUAAUUAGUCUUGUAGCUUACUCGCCUAUGCUAUUUUACCUACGCUUAGGAUGUUGAGUAGCGACAUACGCAC
rnacentral:rRNA from 1 species